CCUACGGGAGGCAGCAGUAGGGAAUCUUCCACAAUGGGCGAAAGCCUGAUGGAGCAACGCCGCGUGAGCGAAGAAGGUCUUCGGAUCGUAAAGCUCUGUUGUAAGGGAAGAACAAGCGCAGCAGUUACUGGCUGCGCCCUGACGGUACCUUACUAGAAAGCCACGGCUAACUACGUGCCAGCAGCCGCGGUAAU
rnacentral:rRNA from 1 species